rnacentral:rRNA from 1 species
GAUGAACGCCGGCGGUGUGCCUAAUACAUGCAAGUCGUACGCACUGGCCCAACUGAUUGAUGGUGCUUGCACCUGAUUGACGAUGGAUUACCAGUGAGUGGCGGACGGGUGAGUAACACGUAGGUAACCUGCCCCGGAGCGGGGAUAACAUUUGGAAACAGAUGCUAAUACCGCAUAACAACAAAAGCCACAUGGCUUUUGUUUGAAAGAUGGCUUUGGCUAUCACUCUGGGAUGGACCUGCGGUGCAUUAGCUAGUUGGUAAGGUAACGGCUUACCAAGGCGAUGAUGCAUAGCCGAGUUGAGAGACUGAUCGGCCACAAUGGAACUGAGAUACGGCCCAGACUCCUACGGGAGGCAGCAGUGGGAAUAUUGCACAAUGGGCGCAAGCCUGAUGCAGCGACGCCGCGUGGGG